rnacentral:lncRNA from 1 species
GGAGAAGCAGGCUCUCCACUGAGCAAGGAGCGCGAUGCGGGACUGGGUCCGGAUCUGGGAUCAUGACCUCAGCCGAAGGCAGCCGCUUAACGGACUGAACCACCCAGGCGCCCUAAAAUAGUGUUAUUUAUUAUUUGAGAGAAAGAGAGAAGCAGAGGGAGAGGGAGAAGCAGACUUCCUGCUGAGCAGGGAGCCCCAUGCUGGCCUGGAUCCCAGAAUGCUGGGAUGGUGACCUGGGCUGAAGGCAGCUGCUUAACUGACUGAGCCACCCAGAUGCCCCCAAAAGAAAUAAAAUCUUAAAAAACAAACAAGUAUAAGUGUAUUUGAUUCUCACCAGAACCCUGUAUGUCAUUAUCUAUAAUGUAUAGAUGAUCCCUCAGAAUGUU